UUUACUUGCAGUUUGACUGUUUGACGUCGUUCUCGGAGUGACCGUCUCCUGGAACGUAUGUUGACCGGCUUCCGUUCUGUUUUUCCC
rnacentral:precursor_RNA from 1 species